rnacentral:rRNA from 1 species
CACGUAGGGCGCGAGCGUUGUCCGGAAUUAUUGGGCGUAAAGAGCUCGUAGGCGGUUUGUCGCGUCUGCUGUGAAAAACGCGAGGCUCAAACCUCGCGCCUGCAGUGGGGUACGGGCAGACUAGAGUGCGGUAGGGGGAGAUUGGAAUUCCUGGUGUAGCGGUGGAAUGCGCAGAUAUCAGGAGGAACACCGAUGGCGAAGGCAGAUCUCU